AGAUUGAACGCUGGCGGCAGGCCUAACACAUGCAAGUCGAGCGGCAGCACGGGUACUUGUACCUGGUGGCGAGCGGCGGACGGGUGAGUAAUGCCUAGGAAUCUGCCUGGUAGUGGGGGAUAACGCUCGGGAAACGGACGCUAAUACCGCAUACGUCCUACGGGAGAAAGCAGGGGACCUUCGGGCCUUGCGCUAUCAGAUGAGCCUAGGUCGGAUUAGCUAGUUGGUGAGGUAAUGGCUCACCAAGGCGAC
rnacentral:rRNA from 1 species